rnacentral:rRNA from 1 species
AAGAGACAGCAGUAGCCGCGGUAAUACGUAGGGUGCAAGCGUUAAUCGGAAUUACUGGGCGUAAAGCGUGCGCAGGCGGUUCGUUAAGACAGAUGUGAAAUCCCCGGGCUUAACCUGGGAACUGCAUUUGUGACUGGCGAGCUAGAGUAUGGCAGAGGGGGGUAGAAUUCCACGUGUAGCAGUGAAAUGCGUAGAGAUGUGGAGGAAUACCGAUGGCGAAGGCAGCCCCCUGGGCCAAUACUGACGCUCAUGCACGAAAGCGUGGGGAGCAAACAGGAUUAGAUACCCCUGUAGUCCCUGUCUCUUAUAC